rnacentral:rRNA from 1 species
CACGUAGGGCGCGAGCGUUGUCCGGAAUUAUUGGGCGUAAAGAGCUCGUAGGCGGCCUGUUGCGUCCGCUGUGAAAGCCCGGGGCUUAACCCCGGGUCGGCAGUGGAUACGGGCAGGCUAGAGGUAGGUAGGGGAGAAUGGAAUUCCCGGUGUAGCGGUGAAAUGCGCAGAUAUCAGGAGGAACACCAAUGGCGAAGGCAGCUCGCUGGGACGUGACUGACGCUGAGACGCGAAAGCGUGGGGAGCAAACAGG